AACAUAUAAAAUUCAGAGGAUUUCAAACAAAACUUAAGGCUUCUGUCUUCUCUUGGAACAUAAGCCCAUCAUCUGGAGCCCACACUGUCUGCCCCUCAGAGGGCAGGGGACCCCCACUCACCCUACCUGGCCAGCUGUACCCCAAGUACCAGCUGGGACCCAGGUUCCUCCUAGUGCAGAAAUAAUGGGGAGCUGAUUAAACCGUUCAGCAGAAGCUCCAGCCACUCAGUGUUUUCUCAGAAUCACUGCACUUGUAAAAGGAGACCUAGGAGAGACAGCCAUGCUUAGAUUGGAGCAAUACGUUGCUAACAAAGAAUUUCAGGCAUUGGCAAGAGAGCAAUUGUGGGACAGGGAGUCUUUCUGAGCCUUUGAAAAUGCUGCCUCCUCCUCCUUUAAGGCCAGAAUGUGCUAUAAACCCAGAUAAUUAGUGAGGCAACAUUGCAUAGCGCUCUCUCCAGCCUGAAGCCUCCUAGCACUCUGAACCUUUUCCUGGCUGGAGUUUCCAGACACAGAAUAAAGGCCAUCACUGUGUUGCCAUCUUUCACCCAUGACGUUUGUGUAGACAUCUCAACGAUCCCAGGAGGUGCCUGUUAAUGGCCUCUGCAGCCUGCAAACACAAGGCUUCCUCUAGGCUUUCCUGAAGAAAAUAUCACAUUUAAUUUUAAAAUCAUGAUUUUCAAAACAAUGACCUUCCUCCAAAGACAGGAACCACACACCUGGCUGGUUUGGGCCAGGUGGCGGCUCUGAGCUCAGCCAGGUGGCCUGUGGGCCGGCAUUGACUUUGUGGACUGUUGUGGGAUCCCGCUGGUGAGAAAGGUGCUGAGCACCUAAGUGCCAUGGACAGGUUUCUCAUUAGUCCUGAGCAGCGAAUGCAAGCCAGCCCCAGGCAGUGAGACCAAAGACUCUGUCUCUGCUGCAGAACGUCCCUUUUGUGAGGCAGGGCUGGCCUCAGAGGCAGCAUUGUGUAGUCAGAGGCUUCUCUCCUAUGAACCCCCAUGAAGAGCCCCCUUGGGUUCCCAGGCCCCAGGUGGGUUGGCAUCCAUGAAGUUCUGAGAGUCAGCAAUCAAGGUUCUGGUCCACAGAGCACGUCAGGAAGGUAAGGUGAUGGAGGAUGGAGCAGGAAAGGGGAGAGGCAGCAGAGACGUAGAAGGAGACUGACUGAGGACACGUGGGCCCAAGACACCCAGUGCUGGCUUCCCACUCAGAAGCCAGGUGGGAGGAAAGUGGACCAGGGCAGCCCGCUAGCGCCAGUGGCCUCCAGCUCCACCCGGAGAUGAACGCCAAGCUGAAGUACUGCUGAUCAGCCCAGGCCAGCGGGAGGAAAGUGCCAGUGGCUUCGUCCCUCCUAGAUGGUGCGGCAGGCACGAGAUGCCCAGCCUUGAUGCACCUGCCCCAGACGCUCAACACUUUCAGCAAACCUCCCACUGCUCAUGGGGAAAGUGCUGGCUCACAGAGGCGUAGGAUCUUCCAGAUGCCGACCCUCACCCUCCACCCUUCCACCUGCAGAUGAGUUCCUGGGAUGGGAAGAAUCAUCCAUGGUCUUCCAAAAGUGGUUCGCGGACCCCUGGGUGUCUCCACAACACCUUCAGGGGUUCGCAAAGUAGAAACUGCCUUCACAAUUAUUGUAAUGCAUUGUCUGCUCUUUACUGGGUUGCAUUUGUGGCAAUGGAGGGACCUAGCAGGGUGGGAGCUGGGAGCAACAGCAACCGCACCUACGGGCAUCCUGUUCCCCAUGGCCCUUGCCACAGAAAACACAAGGUCAGUUUGGCUUAAGCAUAUCUUUGAUGAGGAAAUAAAAUUAUCAACUUACUAAAGCUUGACCCUGAGUGCACGUCUUUUUGGUUAUCAAGGAAGGACGUACGAAAUUCCUCUGCUGUAACUGAAGGAAGGAAUUUGUCCCAAGAAGAUUCCUACCAUAAUCUGGAUGAUGUGCGUUGUGGCUGAACCCACCACUUUUCAUGGGCUGCCAUGUUCCCUGUAAGGGUGCUGGAAGGUGAUCUGCAGCUAUUCAUAGGUGGCAUUUGGCACUUAAAAAAAAUCAGGUCUGGGCACAGUGGCUCACACCUGUAAUCCCACUACUUUGGGAAGCCAAAGUGGGCAGAUCACUUGAGCCCAGGAGUUCAAGACCAGCCUGGGCAACAUGGCAAAAACCCAUCUCUAAAAAAAAUACAAACAUUAGCCAGGUGUGGUGGCACGUGCCUGUAGUCCCAGCUACUCUGGAGGUUGAGGCGGGAGGAUCGCUUGAGCCCAGGAGGUCCAGGCCGCAGUAAGCAGCCGUGAUCGCACCACUGCACUCCAGCCUGUGCGACACAGCAAGACUCUGUCUCAAAACAAACAAACAAAAAACAACUCCUUCAGUUCAAGAACAAGUGACAGUAUCUGUUGCUAAUGAUAACACUGAGCUUUCCAGCAAAAAUUGGAAUUUUGGAAAACAUGUAUUGAUGAUGUGAGCUUGAUAGAUUUCCAAAACUUAAAGACUUUUCUGAGAUCAGUGGUGAUAUUAACAAAUGUAAUUUUAAAAAAUUUUAUAACAAAAUGUGUCAACAUUUGGGAGAGCUGCAUAACUCAGGCAACCAAUACUUCCCCAAUGAACAGUUACAGAACCACAAACAGUAAAAUAUCUAUGUGAAGUGCAGGUCCACCGACAGAUCUUAGGGGCACAGACGGUGGCAAUUUUAUUGAUGGUUUCACAUUCCACACUGAACUAACUUUAAGGAAUCCCCAGUGCCAACACAUAAUGUAGCAUCAAAGAAGAAUAUCCACAAUUAUCUAAAAGGCUAAUAAAUACUUCUGCACUCUCCAAAUAUACAUUAAAUAUUGAUUGAUGCAAA
rnacentral:lncRNA from 10 species